AAAACCGCCGUUAGGCAACCAACCAUACGGGCGUUUCCAUGGCGACCUUACCCAGGUGGACAACCACUCUGGUUCACCCCUAUAAUAUGUAUUCUGUUCGUCCUCGCAGUGAACACCCCCACUCGGUCCGAUUCAUGGCCACCUGUCCUGCCGACCUAUUUGUGUCGCUCCGGAUUGUUUCCCCAAAAAUGUCAUUCGAAUGAUUGAAAUGUCAACCCUUCUCGAUGUGUUAGCAUCAAGCCAAAAAAUGAUUUUCUGGUGAAAUCGAGUGAGGAUAUCGCCGAUAUUUUUUGCGGCCGGGCUGGAAAAUGUCCAUCGUUUGCGAGGAAAUAUUUGACGAGCAGAGUCAUCCAACUAUAGAAGAAAUAAAAGAUUAUGCAGCCAAAAUUGGAAUAGAUCCAAAUGAAGAGCCACAAUUGCUACCUAUUGCUGCAGAAGGGUUGAUGAAAGCUUUGCCAGCAGCUUGGAAACCUUGCUUCGACGAAAAAUCCAAAUCCUACUAUUACUACAACCGCGACACGGGUAAGACGCAAUGGGAACACCCUCUGGACAACAUUUACAGAAACAUAGUGAAGAAGGCAAGAACAGACAGUCAAUCGAUAAGCCUAGGGGAACCCACCGACGAUGCCACCUUCGCCAGGGACGAUCUCCCAAGUCUCGAGGAACCUCCCAUCGCCAACGUCAACUUCUUGUCCAAGAAGCUGGAACCGCUCAUGCCUACGGCGAAGCUGAGGGACAAGUCUUCGUCGCCUCGCAGACUCCGCCGGUCUCCAACCGUUGACCUGAACGUCAGUCCGAGGCACGAGUCGAAGUUUGUCAAGCAGAAGUCCGAGGAUCACAUCUUGAUCAACAAAAAAUUUUCCGUCAACGCCGGCAGCAGCCUGACCGAUGAUCCCUUCGAGAAACAUCCCCGGAUGUUCGACACUAGACCGGAACUGAAGAUCACCGGUGGCGGUUCCAUGUUCCUGAAGACGAACACGAAAAAAAUCGAGGUUGCUCCUGAUGGUAAUAAAGCGGUCUUCAAUCAGAAGAUCGCUGAUAAGAUGAGCAUUCUGAAAGAACGUCAAUACCAUGAUGGCACGAAAGAUGUCAGUUCCGAUUAUGAAGCAAGGGGUGAUGAAGUUACCAGCAGUGAUAAAAGCAAAGAAACUGACGAGAAAGAUCCAAAGCAAGAGGAAGAUGACAAGAAGAGUGUUCGUUUCACCAUACAGAAGGAAGAACAGCAAUAUCAUCUAUCAGACAGCAGUGAAGAAGAACCAGAUUCUCCGAAGAAGCAGGUCAUCCAUCCAGUUCUGCAAAUUUCUCUGGCUCCUCAAAAUAAGUCUCCCUUCACCAUGGCAAUGGAGACCGAAGUUCUCGACAAACCUCCAUUGCCCAGAAAGAACCUCAAAGUGAUCAAGCCAAAUCCUGGCGAUUUCAUAAAACCAACCCUCAUGAGAACUAGGAGUUCUGAAUCCGAAGACGAGUCUGGGAGUGGUAGAGUGAAGAAAUUAACAAUGGAAGAGAUCGAUUUGGAUAGUGAAAAUUCAAUGGACAGUCCAAAUGAGAAACUAACUAAGAAAACGAUGCUGAUGGAGAGGAAAAUGGAAAAGAGGGUGGAAAAACUGAAGGAUAGAAUGUGGAGGUCCAAGAACAAGGAGAUAGUGGAAUUCCAAGAAAACCUAGAGGAUUCGCAAAGGGAAGAACUGAAACGGAUUAUGACCAGAGAAAACGAAUCGCACGAGUUGAAAAUAGCAGAAGAACUACAAAAUUUCAGGAUCGAGGCUGAUAAAAAACAUGAAGCAAUAUUGAACGAAGAAAAGAAGAAACUUGAUGAUAAGUUGGAAAGGUUGAAACUUGAGCUCUCGACAAAAUACGAUAAGGAGGAAAAAGAAAUGAAGGAACACUUCGUGAAGAAGAAAGAGGAACUAGAGAAAUAUUAUGAGGAAAAAUUGGUCGAGAUUGAGAAUAAUUUGGCCGAAAAUAUGGAGAGAAAUAGGGAUGAGAUCAUUCUGUCGCAUAAUUCUAUGUUGGAACAAUUGAAAGAGAAUAACUCGAUUAUAUGCGAGCAAUUGAAAAAGGAAUUCAAGAAAGAGGAGGACCAAAUUCGUUCUGACCAUCGAAACAAAAUAGAGGAAUUGAGAAAUAUAUUCGCUAAGGAAAUCGAAACAGAGAAGACUGCAGACAAAUGUGAUCAAGACGAAAAGUAUAUUAAGAUGUUGAGUGAAAAGAAAUUAUUAGAGGAUAAGUAUAAAUGUUUAAAGGAGAAAUACAUGAGACUUAAGACGGACGUGAGGACGACAAUAGAAAAGAGGAACAAGAAGAAAGAGGAAGGUAGAAGUGGUGCUACAACAACGGGAUCCGAGACAGAAAAGAGUUUUUCCAUUCACAAAGAAAGAACAUCACUCACUUCUUCCCAAAAAAACAUGGAGAAACCACCCACCCCAAAACCUCCCAAAACCAAGACUGAGAACCGCGGACCAAAAGAAACAAGUCCAAACGACGUGGACACAUCGUUGAGCGAUAGGAGCGAGGACAAAAAUAAGCUAGAUUACGACACUUCGGACAACAGCGUGAGUCACGGAAGGAGCCGCAAAAAGCUGUUCUCCAGAAUGAGGUCCAACUCGACCAACAGAAUGCGGAGCUCCAAGAACACGGAAAGGUCCUGUUCUCCAGUCGAGAACCUGAGGAGGCAGCUGCAAAAGCUGGAAGAUCUGGAGGAUCAAUUCCCCCAGAACCAGCAGUCGGACACGUACCACCUGAGGUAUCCGUUUUCAGACUCGCACAAAUUCGAGGGUAGUUCCGAGCUAGAGUUUUUCAGACAUAGGAUACACCUAGAGCGGGAUUCGAUCAAGAGGGCGAAGGAGAGCUUGAGGAGCCAGAAGACGAUUUUUCAGCAGAGACAGAAGGAGCUCAAGCUGAAGCAUGGUACGAUGGCGCGGCACACGUACCAGCAACUAUGUCAGGAAGAGAAAGAUCUAACCGACAUGGAAGUAUCUCUACAUCGCACAAGGAGUCUUCUUGGUGAAAAAGUUAUCAGACUUCGUCAUCUCGAGCAAACCUUGCAGAGGGCGACAGUGACCAACGAUACGAAAUACGACGAUGCAACACUCAGCGAUUUGUCUUCCCACAGUGCCAGUUCAGGAAUAAGUUCUACCGAAUUCCUCGGGGGUGAUAUGCAUUUUUCCAGAGCCUUACCCAGGGAGGAUAGUAUGCAAGAACCCUCGGAAAUAAUCCAAAGUUUGGAGAAUCUGAAUUCGGAGAUAAGGGAGAUUUGGGAGGUGUUGCGCAAACAACAGCAGCAAUCUGGCAGUAUUGCAGCUGUCAUUCCCCCUUUCGUCUACCCAGACUUGGGAUGGCCCGUACUGGCCAGCACUGCAGCUAAUCUUCCAGCACCGCCAUCGAUACCCACCCUAGCGGAUCGGCUCAAUUCCUACAGGCAGCAUUUGGCAUUGGCGAACGCACAGAGCACGGUGGUAACGCACGCUGCUAAUCAGGGAGCCACAACUUCCUUGGUUGAACGCACACGCAACCUGAGGCACUGGUUGAAACAGGCCGGCAUAGAGAAUAACGGUGAGACAAGCAAUCCGCAGGCGGAUCUGUGAAGCUCUACUCUAAACCACCCCAUAUAUGUAUAUUAUAGUCACAAUUUUUAGGCGAAACCUCUUAAAAGGUUCUGUUUCGAUCUUUCUCUGUAUCUAGUUUAGAUGAUUCGUCAAGCUCCGAACCGAAAAGCUUUUGUGGUUUAACUUGGAAGAAACGUUCACAAUUCGUAGUAGAAACGAAUAAAGGUACUCCUUGUCAAAUCUCAAUUUCGAACUUGAGAUAUUCUCCAAGAAGACGACCACUUCAGGUAUUCACAUAUAGAUGACAUGAGUGCAUUGAAAUAGCUAUACGGAUUAUAAUAAAACUUGAGCAAUUUUCGACAGACAUAUUUAUGAAAUGAACAUUAAAGUAAACGACACAAAGGUGCUGCAUUGUGUUCUUGACAUUCGGAGCCUUCUUAUUCGAGACAAUUGUUCUGACGAUGUUUUCUGCAAUACAUUUUGCCCAGCCCAGAAGGUGCAUGAUUUCUACCUAAUAUCUUGAUAACUCAUGAGUAACAGUAGUGAAACCAGUAGUUAACAACUUUGCAAUUGGUUAGAAGGCAACUCACCAGAGACUACCAGUUUGCAGAGAUUUAAUGCUGUUGAACGAAAUGCUUUUAUCUAAACCGAAAAGUUUCUCGAAAAACUCCAGACGACUUUUCAUAUGUGAAAUACUUACAUAGAGCUAAUGUUGGCAGAUGUUCCUAGACAAAAUGAGAAUAUCUUGGUUAAUUUUAUGACGAUUCCCAACCUUUUUCUCCCUUAUAUUCUAAAUUAUUCAUCACUUUUUCAGUUUCUCCAUGAAACAUAAGAAAAACUUCAUGAAUAUCUUUGAGUCGAUAAUAUUAACCCUUCUCAAGAUUUCCAACGCAACAUUUAUUUUUUCUUUCAAUAUUCUGCGCUCAGAAUAUUUGAAGUUGUUCCAUUUCAUAUUAUUUUUGGUAAAAUAUUGUACAUCAGUAGUUGUCUUGUGCCGUUUCUAGACCACCGUUGUGAUCUCAAAGUCACAGAACAGAAUGUGGGAUUUCGGAUUGAACCGGAGGUAGUUUGGAUUAAGGAAGUUUACUUUUCUUUUUAUUUUAGCUACCUUCCCAUCUAUCCAGGAAAAGUCGUAUGAAAUAUGAUGAAGCAAAAAAAUAUUAUAUAAUAUAAUAUGGUAACGAGUUUUGUGACUGGCGUUUGUAAUAGCGAAGUAUUGAGUAAAUUGAGAUAAUCACUGAACGAUUUUACAAGAAUUGAGAACCAAAAUUCACCUUGAGAGACUCCAACUAAGUAUGAAAACAGCAAUAACAAUAAUAAUCAGGUGUCGAAAACCCGGAUAGAUUGUGAUGAAUCCAUUUUCGAAUUAUACUUCCUAUAGAUUGGUCGAAUAUAUAAGAGUAAUUCGACCUAAAUUAGUAUAAUAUCUCUUGAAUAAUUUUGAGAGUUUUUCUUAGGGUAUGUUAUAACGAUCUGUCUUAUACUAAUUAUAUUUCCCUAUGCCUUAACACGUAAGAACUGAACGUAAUUUCAUUGUGAUAUUAUUUGUACACAGAAAACUUUUGUACUGUUGAUUGCAAACUGUUCUAAUAUUUUCCUAAUGAAUGAGAAUUAUUGUCGAGUACCUAUCUGUUGAAUUUGUGAAGCCAAAGUAUCGUAAAGGUAAUUCAAGAUAAUAAAUAUAUUUCUGAGAAUUUGUUGAAGAAAAAAAUGCCGAAUGAAAAGUGGAAAUAUUGAUAUAUUAUAUCUCUGUUUUAUAUGAUUUUUUAAUUUGUCUUGAAAAUCACGUCCUAAUGAAUCUGAAUUUCAUCUUCUAUAUCUGAAGUAUAGGAUAUUCAUUCCAAAUAAUGUACCAAAAAGUGUAGAAAAGUAUACGUUUAAAUGAAUAUAUCGAUUGAGAAACGGAAGAACAUGUUACAGAACUGAUUUAACAUUUAUGUUAUGAACCUUUUAUAUGUGCACUCCAAAUAGAAUAUGUAAGUGGAUGUGAUAUUCCGAAACAACUAUAAAAUGUUGAACUGAAGAUUUAUCCUGUUGAUAACAAUUAUAGAAAUAUGAGGCCAAAAAUGAUGUAUACACCCAUUAUAAUUUGAAGCUUAUGAUGACAUAUUACAAUUCCAUUUUGUGAGAUUGAAUAAUAAAUCUAUUGGCAAAA